rnacentral:rRNA from 1 species
GGGUUGUGAGGUUAAGCGACUAAGCGUACACGGUGGAUGCCCUGGCAGUCAGAGGCGAUGAAGGACGUGCUAAUCUGCGAUAAGCGUCGGUGAGGUGAUAUGAACCGUUAUAACCGGCGAUUUCCGAAUGGGGAAACCCAGUGUGUUUCGACACACUAUCAUUAACUGAAUCCAUAGGUUAAUGAGGCGAACCGGGGGAACUGAAACAUCUAAGUACCCCGAGGAAAAGAAAUCAACCGAGAUUCCCCCAGUAGCGGCGAGCGAACGGGGAGGAGCCCAGAGCCUGAAUCAGUGUGUGUGUUAGUGGAAGCGUCUGGAAAGGCGYGCGAUACAGGGUGACAGCCCCGUACACAAAAAUGCACAUAUUGUGAGCUCGAUGAGUAGGGCGGGACACGUGGUAUCCUGUCUGAAUAUGGGGGGACCAUCCUCCAAGGCUAAAUACUCCUGACUGACCGAUAGUGAACCAGUACCGUGAGGGAAAGGCGAAAAGAACCCCGGCGAGGGGAGUGAAAAAGAACCUGAAACCGUGUACGUACAAGCAGUGGGAGCCUCUUUAUGGGGUGACUGCGUACCUUUUGUAUAAUGGGUCAGCGACUUAUAUUCUGUAGCAAGGUUAACCGAAUAGGGGAGCCGAAGGGAAACCGAGUCUUAACUGGGCGUUAAGUUGCAGGGUAUAGACCCGAAACCCGGUGAUCUAGCCAUGGGCAGGUUGAAGGUUGGGUAACACUAACUGGAGGACCGAACCGACUAAUGUUGAAAAAUUAGCGGAUGACUUGUGGCUGGGGGUGAAAGGCCAAUCAAACCGGGAGAUAGCUGGUUCUCCCCGAAAGCUAUUUAGGUAGCGCCUCGUGAAUUCAUCUCCGGGGGUAGAGCACUGUUUCGGCAAGGGGGUCAUCCCGACUUACCAACCCGAUGCAAACUGCGAAUACCGGAGAAUGUUAUCACGGGAGACACACGGCGGGUGCUAACGUCCGUCGUGAAGAGGGAAACAACCCAGACCGCCAGCUAAGGUCCCAAAGUCAUGGUUAAGUGGGAAACGAUGUGGGAAGGCCCAGACAGCCAGGAUGUUGGCUUAGAAGCAGCCAUCAUUUAAAGAAAGCGUAAUAGCUCACUGGUCGAGUCGGCCUGCGCGGAAGAUGUAACGGGGCUAAACCAUGCACCGAAGCUGCGGCAGCGACACUAUGUGUUGUUGGGUAGGGGAGCGUUCUGUAAGCCUGUGAAGGUGGCCUGUGAGGGUUGCUGGAGGUAUCAGAAGUGCGAAUGCUGACAUAAGUAACGAUAAAGCGGGUGAAAAGCCCGCUCGCCGGAAGACCAAGGGUUCCUGUCCAACGUUAAUCGGGGCAGGGUGAGUCGACCCCUAAGGCGAGGCCGAAAGGCGUAGUCGAUGGGAAACAGGUUAAUAUUCCUGUACUUGGUGUUACUGCGAAGGGGGGACGGAGAAGGCUAUGUUGGCCGGGCGACGGUUGUCCCGGUUUAAGCGUGUAGGCUGGUUUUCCAGGCAAAUCCGGAAAACCAAGGCUGAGGCGUGAUGACGAGGCACUACGGUGCUGAAGCGACAAAUGCCCUGCUUCCAGGAAAAGCCUCUAAGCAUCAGGUAACAUCAAAUCGUACCCCAAACCGACACAGGUGGUCAGGUAGAGAAUACCAAGGCGCUUGAGAGAACUCGGGUGAAGGAACUAGGCAAAAUGGUGCCGUAACUUCGGGAGAAGGCACGCUGAUAUGUAGGUGAAGCGACUUGCUCGUGGAGCUGAAAUCAGUCGAAGAUACCAGCUGGCUGCAACUGUUUAUUAAAAACACAGCACUGUGCAAACACGAAAGUGGACGUAUACGGUGUGACGCCUGCCCGGUGCCGGAAGGUUAAUUGAUGGGGUUAGCGGUAACGCGAAGCUCUUGAUCGAAGCCCCGGUAAACGGCGGCCGUAACUAUAACGGUCCUAAGGUAGCGAAAUUCCUUGUCGGGUAAGUUCCGACCUGCACGAAUGGCGUAAUGAUGGCCAGGCUGUCUCCACCCGAGACUCAGUGAAAUUGAACUCGCUGUGAAGAUGCAGUGUACCCGCGGCAAGACGGAAAGACCCCGUGAACCUUUACUAUAGCUUGACACUGAACAUUGAGCCUUGAUGUGUAGGAUAGGUGGGAGGCUUUGAAGUGUGGACGCCAGUCUGCAUGGAGCCGACCUUGAAAUACCACCCUUUAAUGUUUGAUGUUCUAACGUUGGCCCGUAAUCCGGGUUGCGGACAGUGUCUGGUGGGUAGUUUGACUGGGGCGGUCUCCUCCUAAAGAGUAACGGAGGAGCACGAAGGUUGGCUAAUCCUGGUCGGACAUCAGGAGGUUAGUGCAAUGGCAUAAGCCAGCUUGACUGCGAGCGUGACGGCGCGAGCAGGUGCGAAAGCAGGUCAUAGUGAUCCGGUGGUUCUGAAUGGAAGGGCCAUCGCUCAACGGAUAAAAGGUACUCCGGGGAUAACAGGCUGAUACCGCCCAAGAGUUCAUAUCGACGGCGGUGUUUGGCACCUCGAUGUCGGCUCAUCACAUCCUGGGGCUGAAGUAGGUCCCAAGGGUAUGGCUGUUCGCCAUUUAAAGUGGUACGCGAGCUGGGUUUAGAACGUCGUGAGACAGUUCGGUCCCUAUCUGCCGUGGGCGCUGGAGAACUGAGGGGGGCUGCUCCUAGUACGAGAGGACCGGAGUGGACGCAUCACUGGUGUUCGGGUUGUCAUGCCAAUGGCACUGCCCGGUAGCUAAAUGCGGAAGAGAUAAGUGCUGAAAGCAUCUAAGCACGAAACUUGCCCCGAGAUGAGUUCUCCCUGANNCUCCUUGAGAGUCCUGAAGGAACGUUGAAGACGACGACGUUGAUAGGCCGGGUGUGUAAGCGCAGCGAUGCGUUGAGCUAACCGGUACUAAUGAACCGUGAGGCUUAACCUUACAACGCCGAAG